AGAGUACAAGAUAAAGUCAUAAAGUGAGAGGGGUCUAUGAUAUAAAAAGCUAGCAAUGACCCACAAUCCUUCACUUACUAAGGCUCAUAUUCAAACCCUCUAGUUUUUGCCUAACCUAGAAUUUGCCUGAACUAUGAAGUCUGGAUUCCACUGGGGAAUAACAAGAUACUCAGUGGCACCUAGAUUAUCCAAGAAAGAAUGUGAUUUGGAAACUCCUAUGGACAAGUAGCUUCAGCUACUAGUUAGGAAGUGCCCAUGAAAAGAAGAAUCUGUACUUCCCAAGAGAAUAUGGCCAGCCACUGCACUGUGAAACAAGGAAAACCAAGGACUCCUGAAGCAGUGUCUUACUGAUGUACAGCCUGACCAGAAUCAGUCUUGGAUUUGAGGCCUCCUAUGCGUUUCCCACCCGUGGAGCUGAGUACUCCUGUAUCACCAGUUAGCCAAACUUAAUCUUCUGUUGCCACAAAAAUCUGUAGUGUCAAAUUCUUCUCCUUUUAUUAUAAAUCUCAAUGUUUUGAUGAUUCUUUUACAUUUGUGGUUUCUGGAGUUCUGUCAUUAAAUAAGGAGCUUGGCUCUUAUUUCUCCUAUUUUACUUGUAAGAUUGCUGUCAAAUCAUGAGUUCAAAAGUAAAAACUCUAAAUCCAUUGAUUUAAAUCCAACACCCCAGGUUUUGUGUAGUUUGUCCAGUCUUUUUAGGAGAUGAAUGCAUGAAUCUGUCCUCACUGUAAUUCCCCAAACCCUUUAACUCUCUGCUAGUGGGGUCUCUAAGGGCAUAGAUAUCUGCCAUGUUGUGUUUCCCUCAUCAAGGCAAGCCCAUCCUCUGUUGCUUGAAGGACCUGAUCUAUGAAGCAUUCUCCAAACCAGCCUUCUAGACCUUGCAGGAACAAAUUCCCAGAGGGCAAAGCAACGAGGCUUACCUUCAGCUUUCCACUGUGUCCAAGCUGGAUUUAACCUGGUAUGAAUGCCGAAUGUCACAACCAACAGGCUGUUUGCUGGUUGUUUAGGGAUCAAACUCCUCCAAAGUAUAAUCAGGUAUUUUCACUCAUGGUGGAGCAGAUUUGACAAGUAGACAAUUCAGUCUGCAACAGCAAAUAGCCUGCCAAGGAGAAUGUCCUGGCAGGUGGUGGACGGGUAUGACAUGCCAUAUCCCAGAUAUAUGUUCCUAACAGCCAGACUAUAGAGUAAGCAACUAGAAAGAACUUAUUAUCCUGCAGGUAGCUGUUAUAAAACACUGGUUUAGUGCCAAUCUUGUGGCUGGGAUUUCUUAGCAGAGGCACAGGAUUAAAUCAUACUUUCUUAAGGUUUCUUCCUGGCUUUCUUAUGUAGCUUCCAGUCUGUAGGCUUUGUAUAGCCCACUCUUUAUUGCCUUCAGGAAGCAUGUGAGAAACUCACAUUUCUGCACUGAGAAAAGAUAUCUUCAAAUUCUACAAAGCAUCACAGCAUGUAAAAAUAUGGUGAUGCAGUUUGUAAUACUCAAGUCUUUUGGGGGGACCUUGCCCCAUGGUAUAGUUUUAAUUCUUUAGGGAAAAUAGCAUAAGGAUUCAGCUGUCCAGAACAGAUUUUCCACUGUGGAAAAUUUGCAGGAGUAUGUCAAAGCUACAAGUAUGAUCAAAGUUUGAUAGUUUCUGGAGGGACCAUAAAGAAUAAGUGUUGCAUUUCAGUAUCUACCCUAUGCAGUCAGAGUGGAGAAAGGCCAUGGAUACCUCUAAAGAGCAUUCUGCCAGUGAUUUUUGUUUGGUCCUUCCCCUGUGGCAGUCCCAGGACUGGCAGCAACCUUUACAGUCACCAAGCCUGUAUUUCACAUGGACACAGGACACAAGGAUCAAGGAUUAGGUUUUGAUCAAAUUAGGGAAGGCACUCCCUACAUUCCCAAAAUAGUAUAAGAGAUCUGCUUUCUUUGAGCUGCUGCCCCUUUGCAGCACAUCAUCUGCAUUUUGAAGAGGUUGUUUUCCAAGACCAGCAGCCUGACAGUAUUGGGUGCUUCAGCGGAGAGAUCUACAUGCCUGUUGCACAGAAAUUAAAGGGGAAAAAUUCCUAUAGAUUUCAGUGGUUUGGGAUAUGACUGUCUCUAUUAAAACCUUUACUUAAAUAUACCCUUAACUGGUAACAUGUUAGAAAUAAUUGAACAAGACAAUCCUGAGUAAUUCAUCAGUGCCUCUAUUAUUCUUUUCAGAGUUGCACAUCAGCUAUUUACACAAUAUGAUUUGUUUUAAUUUUUUUAUCCAGCAUGUUUUAUGCAUUAGUAUCAGAAAAGCUUGUCUUUCUCUUGGCAAAUGUUGCUGCAAGUUGUCUAGCAGGGAGGUGGAUUAUGUAGAUUUAUUUAUUCAGAAUGUAAUUUGCAUAAAUGAAAAAUGGAAAUAAAUCCUCUUUUCAGAAUUUAAGCCUUUUUUUUUUCCCUUCAAGGUGAAAUAAAAAGUGUGUGUAGUUUACUCA